AAGGUGUAGCAAUUCAAAAAGUCAAAUUGGCAACAUUUGAAUGAUAUAGGGGGAGACUUCACUCUUAUAUUUUGAAAAGCUGAAUUUCAGCAAGUUAAGCCCUUUUAAAAUUAAUUGUAAGAUAAGUAUCAAUAGGCUCAUACUCUUUAUUUUGUAAUCAUCAAAAAGGGAGAGAUUGAGGAUGAUAGUGUUAUUUUGAUGAUUAACAAGCAAUUAUCUAGAGUAUGUUAUAAGUUAAAUCGAUACUUCAUUUAUAAGUCUAUUACUCUCAGUAUAUUUGUAUAAAUUGAUAUAGAUAUAUUUCAUUGUUUAUAUGAAUGAAUCUAACCUUGAGAUGCAGCAAAGUGUGGAUUGAGUCGACCCAAAGGAUGAUUGGGUCGACCCCGGCACAUCAAGAAAGCAUUUGGCAUACUUCAGCAAAAAUGGCACAGAUGAACAGUGAGUUGGGUCGACCCAAGGAAAGCAUGAGUCAACCCAAACAUCAAGAUCCUCAAACAACUCAGAAAAUGGUUCUCUGGAUUUACUGAGAGGGUCGACCCAAGAUAAAGUUGAGUCGACCCAAACCCUGAGUGGGUCGACCCAAAGGCAAGAC
rnacentral:lncRNA from 1 species